rnacentral:rRNA from 1 species
UACGUAGGGGGCAAGCGUUGUCCGGAAUUAUUGGGCGUAAAGCGCGCGCAGGCGGCUUCUUAAGUCGGGUGUUUAAUCCCGGGGCUCAACCCCGGUACGCACUCGAAACUGAGGAGCUUGAGUACAGUAGAGGAGAGUGGAAUUCCACGUGUAGCGGUGAAAUGCGUAGAGAUGUGGAGGAACACCAGUGGCGAAGGCGACUCUCUGGCCUGUAACUGACGCUGAGGCGCGAAAGCGUGGGGAGCAAACAGG